AUGUGCAAGAAAUGCAAGGAAGAUAGACCCAUACAUGGCCGUGCAGUACCGGGGCCAGGAGCACAACGGAGGCACCGCCCGAGACGUGAUGCACGCCGCCAGGUCCGCGCCGACAUCGUGCUCACGAAGCAUGGCCUUUGCAUUGUGUUCUCCAUCUUGCAACGCAUGAUGAACUACACAGUAGAGUUCAGCCGAGGAAGAAUCAGUGGAGAUCCUUGUUUUCAAAUAGCAGGGAUAGAGGGACAGAAAAGAUAUAUUUGUCACGGCGCUGCAAGUGUUGCCCCCCUCCUCCCCAAGGGCAAGGUGAAGGAAGGUGCCUGUGUGGUUCUUCUGCAGUUCGCAACGAGGAUUGUUGUGUCCAACCUGCACAAGAAUGCCAAGAAGUCCUUCUCGGAGACGAUGAAGGACAUGUGCCUGCACUACAAGGAGAGCUCUGGGCUGCUUCUUUGUGGCUUCCAAACUUGA
rnacentral:rRNA from 1 species